UUGUGGAGGAGGACGCCGAAGGUGGGGCUGAUGACUGGGGUGAAGUCGUAACAAGGUAGCCGUACCGGAAGGUGCGGCUGGAUCACCUCCUAACAGGGAGACAACAAUCGAUUAUGAUGUCUAAUUUUCAAAAUUUAGGCCAUAGUCCUGUCACCUUAGGUCGAUCGGUACCUCUGAGUAAUAACUUAAAAAAAUGAGCAAUCACUUUAUAAAUAGUUUUUAUUUUCAGUUCCUAAACUUGUCUAGGUCACACCCAACAAACUUUCUCCUGGGCUAUUAGCUCAGGCGGUUAGAGCGCACCCCUGAUAAGGGUGAGGUCCCUGGUUCAAGUCCAGGAUGGCCCAUUCGUUGUUGGGGGUAUAGCUCAGUUGGUAGAGCGCCUGCUUUGCAAGCAGGAUGUCAGCGGUUCGAGUCCGCUUACCUCCACUGAUCAACUACCUGAUAACUCAAUUUGGAGAUUAUCGUUUGUUUAAUGUGAUUUAGAGUUGUUCAUCUGAAUGAACCUAGCUUCCUGUCAUCCCUUUUUUAUUUUAGGCCGAUAAGACGCUGGGCUCAACUAAUAUUCUUUUGAUUAUUAGUUUGAUUCAGCAGAACCUUGACAACUGCAUAAGAAAAGUCUGGAAAAAUAAAGCAUCUCAUAGAUGCAUUGAAAGCUAUUUAUUGAACUGUGCUUAAUAAAUAGCUUUCAAUGCUUAAUUCUUGAGUUAGAGCAUAUUUGCUAGAAGUUAUUUUAAUUGAAAUAACGUUUUAGUGAUUAUUAAUGGUCAAGCUACAA
rnacentral:misc_RNA from 1 species